AGAGCCGCUCAUCCAGUUUUUUCUCAAGUCAUCCCAGUCAAUAAUCACAGCAUAGGUGGUUACUAAAUUGUUUAGAUUAUUUAUUGAUUUUAGGGAAAAUCACAAUAAAACUCCUCCAACUUUCCAUAGGAAAGACUUUUCAUCUAAAAUUUCAAAAUUUUCAUUUAGCCUCUUAAAUUUAUUUCACUGUGUCAAAGUAAUACUUCACUGCAUCAAGAUACUUAUACAUCUAUCAAAUUGGUAUCCAUACAUGGAUAGAUCAAGAUACUAAACAGAUAUGUAUAGAUUGGAUAAAGAUAAGAGGGAUACUAGGGAUACAAAUGAGUGGG
rnacentral:lncRNA from 1 species